UCAGAUUUGAAUAUCCACCUGCACCUACUCCUAAGAAGAGGUCUUCAUCUGGAGGGAAGACAGAGACUCUCAAAGUACGUCAAGACCAGCAAGUGGCUGCAGCCGUCUGUGUCGGGACUGCAGACAAGAGGACGUCUGAAGUGACAACAGGUGCUCAUCUUAAAGAUGGAGGUCAC